rnacentral:lncRNA from 1 species
AGGGGAUAUUCCGGGAGAGGGACGAGUUCGUGGUCAGGGUGGAGGACAUCCCGGCACUCAAGGUGAGACUGGGAUGGACUGGGACAGACUGGGAGGGACUGGGACAAACUGGGAGUCACUGGGGAGAGGGGAUAUUCCGGGAGAGGGACGAGUUCGUGGUGAGGGUGGAGGAUAUCCCCACACUCAAGGUGAGACUGGGACGGACUGGGAUGGACUGGGAUGGACUGGGAGUCACUGGGAGGGACUGGGAUGGACUGGGUUGGACUGGGAGGGACUGGGAGGGACUGGGAGUCACUGGGAGUCACUGGGAGGGACUGGGAGUCACUGGGAGUCACUGGGGAGAGGGGAUCUUCAGAGAGAGGGACGAGUUCGUGGUGAGGGUGGAGGAUAUCCCCGCACUCAAGGUGAGACUGGGAUGGACUGGGAGGGACUGGGAUGGACUGGGAGUCACUGGGAGGGACUGGGAUGGACUGGGUUGGACUGGGAGGGACUGGGAGGGACUGGGAGUCACUGGGAGUCACUGGGAGGGACUGGGAGUCACUGGGAGUCACUGGGGAGAGGGGAUCUUCAGAGAGAGGGACGAGUUCGUGGUGAGGGUGGAGGAUAUCCCCGCACUCAAGGUGAGACUGGGAUAAACUGGGAUGGACUGGGAGGGACUGGGAGUCACUGGGAGGGACUGGGAGUCACUGGGAUGGCACUGGGACAAACUGGGAGUCACUGGGAGUGAGGACAUGGCACUGGGAGCACUGGGGAGAGGGGAUAUUCCGCGAGAGGGACGAGUUCGUGGUGAUGGGACAAACUGGGAGUCACUGGGAGCACUGGGGACAGGGCAUCUUCAGGGAGAGGGACGAGUUCGUGGUCAGGGUGGAGGAUAUCCCCGCACUCAAGGUGAGACUGUGACGGACUGGGAUGGACUGGGAGGGACUGGGAUGGACUGGGAGUCACUGGGAUGGCACUGGGAGGGACUGGGAGGGACUGGGAGUGAGGACAUGGCACUGGGAGUCACUGGGAGUCACUGGGAGUCACUGGGGAGAGGGGAUAUUCCGGGAGAGGGACGAGUUUGUGGUGAGAGUGGAGGAUAUCCCCGCACUCAAGGUGAGACUGGGAUGGACUGGGAGGGACUGGGACAAACUGGGAGUCACUGGGAGUCAAUGGGGAGAGUGGAUAUUCCGAGAGAGGGACGAGUUCGUGGUCAGGGUGGAGGAUAUCCCCGCACUCAAGGUGAGACUGGGAUGGACUGGGAGGGACUGGGAUGGACUGGGAUAAACUGGGAUGGACUGGGAGGGACUGGGAGUCACUGGGAGGGACUGGGACCAACUGGGAGGGACUGGGAUGGACUGGGAGGGACUGGGAGUCACUGGGGAGAGGGAAUCUUCAGGGAGAGGGACGAGUUCGUGGUGAGGGUGGAAGAUAUCCCCGCACUCAAGGUGAGACUGGGAUGGACUGGGAGGGACUGGGACGGACUGGGAUGGACUGGAAGUCACUGGGAUGGACUGGGAGGGACUGGGAGUCACUGGGAGUCACUGGGAGUCACUGGGAGUGAGGACAUGGCACUGGGAGUCACUGGGGAGAGGGAAUCUUCCGUGAGAGGGACGAGUUCGUGUUGA